rnacentral:rRNA from 1 species
GAUGAACGCUAGCUACAGGCUUAACACAUGCAAGUCGAGGGGCAGCAUGGUCUUAGCUUGCUAAGGCCGAUGGCGACCGGCGCACGGGUGAGUAACACGUAUCCAACCUGCCGUCUACUCUUGGACAGCCUUCUGAAAGGAAGAUUAAUACAAGAUGGCAUCAUGAGUCCGCAUGUUCACAUGAUUAAAGGUAUUCCGGUAGACGAUGGGGAUGCGUUCCAUUAGAUAGUAGGCGGGGUAACGGCCCACCUAGUCUUCGAUGGAUAGGGGUUCUGAGAGGAAGGUUCCCCACAUUGGAACUGAGACACGGUCCAAACUCCUACGGGAGGCAGCAGUGAGGAAUAUUGGUCAAUGGGCGCAGGCCUGAACCAGCCAAGUAGCGUGAAGGAUGACUGCCCUAUGGGUUGUAAACUUCUUUUAUAAAGGAAUAAAGUCGGGUAUGUAUACCCGUUUGCAUGUACUUUAUGAAUAAGGAUCGGCUAACUCCGUG